rnacentral:tRNA from 1 species
GGAGAUUUGGCUCAGUGGUAGAGCGCUUGCCUAGCAAGCGCAAGGCCCUGGGUUCGAUCCCCAGCUCCG